rnacentral:rRNA from 1 species
AUACGUAGGGGGCAAGCGUUAUCCGGAUUUACUGGGCGUAAAGCGCGCGUAGGUGGUUCAGUCAGUCAGAUGUGAAAGCCCCGGGCUCAACCUGGGAACUGCUUUGGAAACUGUCUGACUGGAGUGCAGGAGAGGUAAGCGGAAUUCCUAGUGUAGCGGUGAAAUGCGUAGAUAUUAGGAGGAACACCAGAGGCGAAGGCGGCUUACUGGACUGUAACUGACGUUGAGGCUCGAAGGCGUGGGGAGCAAACAGGAUUAGAUACCCUGGUAGUCCACGCGGUAAACGAUGAUCACUAGGUGUCGGCGGCCAUAGGCGGUCGGUGCCGCAGCAAACGCAAUAAGUGAUCCACCUGGGGAGUACGUUCGCAAGAAUGAAACUCAAAUGAAUUGACGGGG